rnacentral:rRNA from 1 species
UACGGGGGGGGCAAGCGUUGUUCGGAAUUACUGGGCGUAAAGGGCUCGUAGGCGGCCAACUAAGUCAGACGUGAAAUCCCUCGGCUUAACCGGGGAACUGCGUCUGAUACUGGAUGGCUAGAGUGUGGGAGAGGGAUGCGGAAUUCCAGGUGUAGCGGUGAAAUGCGUAGAUAUGCGGAGGAACACCGAUGGCGAAGGCAAUCCCCUGGACCUGUACUGACGCUCAUGCACGAAAGCGUGGGGAGCAAACAGG